CUACGGGCCGCUGCAGUGGGGAAUCUUGCGCAAUGGGCGAAAGCCUGACGCAGCAACGCCGCGUGCGGGAAGAAGGCUUUCGGGCUGUAAACCGCUUUCAGUAGGAACGAAACUGACGGUACCUACAGAAGAAGGAGCGGCCAACUAUGUGCCAGCAGCCGCGGUGACACAUAGGCUCCAAGCGUUGUCCGGAUUUAUUGGGCGUAAAGAGCUCGUAGGCGGUCGAGUAAGUCGGGUGUGAAAACUCUGGGCUUAACCCAGAGAUGCCACUCGAUACUGCUGUGACUUGAGUUCGGUAGGGGAGCGGGGAAUUCCUUGUGUAGCGGUGAAAUGCGCAGAUAUGAGGAGGAACACCGGUGGCGAAGGCGCCGCUCUGGGCCGUAACUGACGCUGAGGAGCGAAAGCGUGGGUAGCAAACAGGAUUAGAUACCCCCGUAGUC
rnacentral:rRNA from 1 species